AGAGUUUGAUCCUGGCUCAGAGUGAACGCUGGCGGCGUGCUUAACACAUGCAAGUCGAACGAUGAAGCUCUAGCUUGCUAGAGUGGAUUAGUGGCGCACGGGUGAGGAAUAUAUAGCUAAUGUGCCCCUUAGAGGGGGAUAACAGUUGGAAACGACUGCUAAUACCCCAUACUCCUUCUUACUAUAAGGUAAGUUGGGAAAGUUUUUUCGCUAAGGGAUCGGGCUAUACGGUAUCAGCUUGUUGGUGAGGUAAUGGCUCACCAAGGCUAUGACGCCUAUCUGGUCUGAGAGGAUGAUCAGACACACUGGAACUGAGACACGGUCCAGACUCCUACGGGAGGCAGCAGUGGGGAAUAUUACACAAUGGAGGAAACUCUGAUGUAGCAACGCCGCGUGGAGGAUGACACAUUUCGGUGCGUAAACUCCUUUUAUAUGGGAAGAUAAUGACGGUACCAUAUG
rnacentral:rRNA from 1 species